AUGAUUUCAAGAUCAGACUGCAGGGCUUGCCUGCGCUUGUCUGCAUCAUCCGUUGAUCGAAAUAUCUCCCUUGCCGAGGCAAUUGCUGCAGAUAGAAGAAACGGUGAUGACAAUCGGCAUGCCAAGUGGGGGCCAUAUAAUUUAUAAUGGUGAAAUAAGCGAGUCAACCACAUUUCAAUCAGACAAGAUCAAAAGUUGUUAUUACAAUAUAGGCAAAUUUUCAGGAGAAAGCCGCACCUUUCGGAAACAGGAAUGCCCAGAUGGUGGUGCACCAAUCAAACGGAAGCCGGAACCACGAUCAAUACACUGGCUGGUCAUCCCUCACCUUCUCGAAUUGCAGAUGAUUCACGAUCGUUUACGAGAGCCAAGUUUCUACAAUGGAGAUCGUCUUGGACAUAAGAAUGUAGUGGCA
rnacentral:lncRNA from 1 species